rnacentral:sRNA from 1 species
CGUUCGCCUGCUGCGGACAGAUGAAAUGGAUAUGCGUGUCCAACCCACCAGCCGUGAUGAUCUUGCCCUCGCCUGCAAUGACAUCCGUGCAACUGCCCACGACCAUCCCCUCAGUAACCCCAUCCAUGACGUCCGGAUUGCCCGCCUUGCCAAUCCCCACGAUGAAGCCGUCCUUGACCCCUAUAUCCGCCUUGUAGAUGCCCGACCAGUCCACAAUCAGCGCAUUCACCACCACCAAGUCCAGCGUCUCCGCGUCCGACCUCCCCGUCGCCUGACCCAUCCCCUCUCGCAG